GACGAACGCUGGCGGCGUGCUUAACACAUGCAAGUCGAACGGAAAGGCCCUGCUUGCCGGGUACUCGAGUGGCGAACGGGUGAGUAACACGUGGGUGAUCUGCCCUGCACUUCGGGAUAAGCCUGGGAAACUAGGUCUAAUACCGGAUAGGAGCCAUUUUUAGUGUGAUGGUUGGAAAGUUUUUUCGGUGUAGGAUGAGCUCGCGGCCUAUCAGCUUGUUGGUGGGGUAAUGGCCUACCAAGGCGGCGACGGGUAGCCGGCCUGAGAGGGUGGACGGCCACAUUGGGACUGAGAUACGGCCCAGACGCCUACGGGAGGCAGCAGGGGGGAAUAUUGCACAAUGGGCGCAAGCCUGAUGCAGCGACGCCGCGUGGGGGAGGACGGCCUUCGGGUUGUAAACUCCUUUCGCUAGGGACGAAGCUUUUUGUGACGGUACCUAGAUAAGAAGCACCGGCUAACUACGUG
rnacentral:rRNA from 1 species